CUACGACAUUUGGGGUGAGCAAAACCUGGGAGACAUCAGCCAUACAUUCCAAUCGGGACGCCAUGAUACAGUGUCCAGACUGGACAGCAUUCUACUCACACAGGGUCUGAUCCUCUCAGUGGAAUCAACAAACAUAGGUAACAUUAAAAUCACAGAUUACACACCAGUAGAAGUCAUCGUUAAAAUAGGAGAAGGAACACAAACCACCCCAUCAUGGUCCUUCAGUCCCAUCCUAACUACAAACAAACAAAUUAGAGAGAGUCUCACAAAAACCCUCCAAAACUACUUCAAGGAAAACGAUGUAGACAAUAUAACAACCCCCCUCCUAUGGGACGCAAUGAAAGCGGUCACCAGAGGAGCUUGCAUAAAAGAGAAAACAUUCCUUAAAAAACAAGCCUCCUCAAAAAUUAGCAAAAUAGAACAAGACAUCACAGCCCUCUCAUCAUGCUACAAACAAACAGGAUCUAAAAAACUCCUAAAACUUAUAGAACAAAAAAGGAGAGAACUAGACUCCCUAGAAAUCAACAAAACAAUGAUCAACAUUCUAUACUCUAAACAACAUUUCUAUGAAUAUGGAGGGAAAAACUCCAGAUUACUAGCAAAUAGAUGUAGGAAAAAAGCACUCAAAACAAGAAUACGCUGCAUCACCAAAAAAGACGGCAACAUAACAUUCUCCCCCAAAGAAAUAAUCUCAGAAUUUGCAGAAUUCUACUCCAACCUAUACACCUCCCAUAACCCACCAGAGAAGGAAAUCAGAAAAUUUCUAGCAGGACUGACCAUGCCUACCCUAACUGAUGAGGAACAGGAAUUAAUGGACAGCCCUAUCACCCCAGAGGAAAUAGAUGCGGUCCUCAAAAACCUGAAACCACACAAAGCCCCAGGCCCAGACGGCUUCACAGCAGAAUUCUAUAGGAAAUUCAAAGAACCCUUGAUGCCUUACAUGACCCGCCUAUUCAACGACAUCAUAAAAGGGGGGCCCAUCCCCCAAUCCUGGACCCACUCAAAAAUAGUCUCCAUCCCAAAACCACUAAAAGACAGCCUCAAAAUAGUAUCAUACCGCCCAAUCUCAUUAAUAAACCAAGACUACAAGAUAUUCACAUCAAUCUUGGCCAACUGCCUAAAAAUCUUCCUACACAAGUUAAUAGCCCCAGACCAGACUGGCUUUGUCCCUGGCCGCAAUAUAACAGACCCCAUCAGGAAACUACUGAACCUGAUCGAACACAGCAAGGCAACCAAACUCCCAUUGACAAUUAUGUCCCUAGACAUCCUCAAAGCCUUUGACUGCUUAGAGUGGAAAUACAUAUUAGCAGUACUAACUAACAUGAAAUUUGGCCCCAACUUCCUACAAAUCCUCAAACAAAUAUACUCCCAAGCCUCAGCAAAAUGCAGAACUAACAAUAUGGAUUCUAAUACUAUAGCUAUCCAAAGAGGCACGAAACAAGGAUGCCCACUGUCUCCCUUCUUAUUUAUCCUGGCUCUGGAACCCUUAGCAAUCCGCAUCUGAGCAGCCACAGACAUCAAGGGCGUGGAAAUAAAAGGCAGAACCUAUAAAUUAGGGCUCUUUGCAGAUGACCUAAUUGUCACAACACCAGACCCCAUAAGCACAGCAACCUCCCUAAUCAGAGAACUCAACACAUUUGCAAUGGUGUUGGGCCUACAGGUAAAUUUUACAAAGUCAGAAGCUAUGUGCUUCAACACCCUUCCUCACACCCAAAAAGAACUCACGAAGGUCACCAAAAUAAAACUUUGCCACACCAAGUUCAGAUACCUAGGGGUACAAAUAACCAGAAACCUCAAUAAAUUGCACCUCCACAACUACAAGCCCCUGUGGCGACAAAUUAACAAAGACCUAAAGAGAUGGACUAACAUGAAUUUCACUCUCUCAGACAAAAUAGCCAUGAUCAAAAUGAUCACACUCCCAAAACUAACCUACCUAUUCCAAACCCUCCCAAUCUGGAUCCCCUCAACCCAACUCCGCAGUUGGCAGAGAAAACUACACUCUUUUAUCUUCUCACAUAAAAAACCAAGAAUAAGCCCCAAAUACCUGCACCUCCCCACCUCAGAAGGAGGAUGGGAAUCCCAACAUAGAAGCAUAUUACAUUGCCAACCAAAUACGCCAUAUAAUCCCAUAUAUACUCGAAGAUGAGACAAAACAAUGGAUACACCUAGAGAGGGACACAAUUGAAAAUACCUGCACCACAACAUACCCACUCCUCCCAAACAAACUAAAGAAAAUUCCCACAACACUCAACAGGUACACACAGACCAUGCUCAAAGCAUGGAAAACACAAAUAGGCAAACUAUCCCCAACCCCAUCCCCACUAAUCCCCCUGGCGUACCACCCAUUAUUCCACCAUGCAGCACAAAACCUCCAGAUAAAAACCUGGCGAACCAAAGGCUUAUAUCGCCUAAUAGACUUUUAUAAAAAUAACAAACCUUUGUCAACACAAGAAAUACAAGACAAACUAGAAGACACCCAAAUGCCCUGGUUAACACAACACCAACUACAUGCCCUCUUAAACAACCCAACAGUAAAAUUAGCAGCAACUAGGCCCCUGACAACCUUCAAAAAACCUCCUCCUAACAACAAAGGGAAACGGGAAAGGGACAGUAUCCGCAAUAUACAAAAUACUACUCCAAAAUCCCACAAACCCCCUAGACGCAAUCAAAAAACAAUGGGAGAAUGACAUAGGUUAUGAGAUUAACCCCACUCAAUGGACCAGAAUGUGGUCUAAACCCCCCUUUAAAUCCAUAUCAACGAAAAGAAAAGAACUCACACUGAAACUCACCUACAGGUGGUACCUAACACCAAGGAAACUAGCGCUAAUACACCCAGGAACCUCACCAAAAUGCUGGAGAGGGUGCACCUCCACAGGCACAUACCUCCACAUGUGGUGGGAGUGUCCCAAAAUCCAACUAUUCUGGACAACAGCUAUACGAGAAAUAUGUAAAAUAACUAAGCAAGUAUUAGAUAUCACCCCAGAAUUGGCCCUACUAAACAUCUUCCAAGACAACAAUGCCCAUUUACACCACAAAGAACUCAUAACCCACCUGCUCUCAGCAGCCAGAAACACCAUAACCAGACACUGGAGAGACCUGUCAGGAGUAAGCAUGGACCAAUGGUACCAAAUAGUAUGGGAAACAGCCCUACUAGAAAAAUUAACUAAUAAACUGAAACUGACACGGGGACAAACAGAAGAAGACGCCUUCACCCCGGUAUGGCUCCCCUUUAUCACAUACACAGCCCAACAAGACAAUGACAAUAAUCCACCAACAGCAUACAAAUCAAUAUGGCUAACCUGAUCCAAAACACCUCACCCACCUCACUCACACACGGAAACAAAGAUCACCACAGCCAAUCACACCCUAGGCCAACCCCAACCUCUCUCACCACCAAAGGAACACAAGCAACGCUGACACCAAACUCUACAUACAUUAAGCAUAAUAGAAACAUCGCCACCCGACCCCACCCCCACCCAUCUUCCCUCCCCCCACUCCCCCUUUCUUUUUCCUUUCUUUUUUUUUCUUCUCCCCCUAAUGCCUCAACAAAUGAAAUGGAUUUGUAAAAAUGUUACAUGGGGGAAAAAAUACGAGGCAUUACACUUACUUCUGUAAAACAAGAAAAUCCUUAAUAAUAAAUAAAUAAAUAAAUAAAUAAAUAAAUAAAUAAAUAAAAUGUUUGAUGUUAAAUCUAUUAUUAUUAUUAAUCUGUUGGGAGCUGCCCAGAGUGGCUGGAGAAACCCAGCCAGAUGGGCAGGGUAUAAAUAAAUUAUUAUUAUUAUUAUCAUUAUUACCAAAUGUGGGAAGAACAAAGAAAGACAGAGUUUGUUGUGGUGCACAGAGACAUACCUAGGCUCCCUUGCACCCUUGGCAAGAAGCUAUACCAGCACCCUGCCCCGUCCCUUGUGCCUUUGUCCAUCCAUUGCAGACUUGGCAAGGAAAUAUAUCAACACCCCUCAUAUCCAGAAAAAAGCAUGACACAAUUCAAUAAUCACAAAUGACUCUUAAACUAGGCAUUUAACAGCACAAUCCAAUAAAGCAUAGAACUGUAGAGUUGGAAAGGACCCUGAGGGUCAUCUAGAUGACAGAGUUGAUGUACACCAUUAUGAAAUACAAAAAAUCAUACAGAGGUUCCCCCCCCAAAAAAUGUACUGAACCUUCCCUCCCCCUGGGCCACAUGUUUGACACACCAUAACAAUGUGCCAAUGAGAACUUUGCAGCAUCAUUUCUCCAAAGGCUGGUAAGUCUGCGAACAGCCCAAAGGAAUAUCCACAUCAGGACCCACCUAACCUGGAGAGCAUGGAUGGGUUCUUCCUUGCACCUGUCUAGCACCUUGCCAUACUCAUUAUUAUGAGAUUACUUCAUAUCAAGUUUUGCUGUACAUCGGCUGCUAACUCAUUAUAUAUAUUAUCGAAAUAGCACAAAACAGUUAAAGUAGAAAGUCACAGAUAGCUAGAAGAAAUCAUUAGUGUGACGGGGUGCUUACCUUACUUGCUAACUUUUCUCAUUAUCUUAAAGCUUGUGAAGAUGACUAGGUUGGGGUGGGUUUUUUCAGCAAACAACACAGACGAGACCUAAUCCUUAUCAGAUUAGUGGGUUUAACCCGGGAGACAUCAGCCAUACAUUCCAAUCAGGACGCCAUGAUACAGUGUCCAGACUGGACAGCAUUCUACUCACACAGGGUCUGAUCCCCUCAGUAGAAUCAACAAACAUAGGUAACAUUAAAAUCACAGACCACGCCCCAGUAGAAGUCAUUGUUAAAAUAGGAGAAGGAACACAAACCACCCCAUCAUGGUCCUUCAGUCCCAUCCUAACUACAAACAAACAAAUUAGAGAGAGUCUCACAAAAACCCUCCAAAACUACUUCAAAGAAAACGAUGUAAACAAUAUAACAACCCCCCUCCUAUGGGACGCAAUGAAAGCGGUCACCAGAGGAGCUUGCAUAAAAGAGAAAACAUUCCUUAAAAAACAAACCUCCUCAAAAAUUAGCAAAAUAGAACAAGACAUCACAGCCCUCUCAUCACGCUACAAACAAACAGGA